UACGAGGGGGGCGAGCGUUGUUCGGAAUUAUUGGGCGUAAAGGGUGCGUAGGCGGUUUGGUAAGUCUGAUGUGAAAUCUAUGGGCUCAACUCAUAGUCUGCAUCGGAAACUGCCGGGCUUGAGUAUGGGAGAGGUGAGUGGAAUUCCUGGUGUAGCGGUGAAAUGCGUAGAUAUCAGGAGGAACACCUGUGGCGAAGGCGGCGUCCUGGCCUGCGACUGACGCUGUGGCGCGAAAGCUAGGGGAGCGAACGGG
rnacentral:rRNA from 1 species